rnacentral:rRNA from 1 species
UUGCUUUCUCAAGCGAGUGGCGAACGGGUGAGUAACGCGUGAGGAACCUGCCUCAAAGAGGGGGACAACAGUCGGAAACGACUGCUAAUACCGCCCAAGCCCACGACCCGGCAUCUGGUAGAGGGAAAAGGAGCAAUCCCGCUUUGAGGAUGGCCUCGCGUCCGAUUAGCUAGUUGGUGAGGUAACGGCCCACCAAGGCGACGAUCGGUAGCCGGACUGAGAAGGUUGAACGGCCACAUUGGGACUGGAGACACGGCCCAGACUCCUACGGGAGGCAGCAGUGGGGAAUAUUGCACAAUGGGGGAAACCCUGAUGCAGCGACGCCGCGUGGAGGAAGAAGGUCUUCGGAUUGUAAACUCCUGUUGUGGAGGAAGAUAAUGACGGUACUCAACAAGGAAGUGACGGCUAACUACGUGCCAGCAGCCGCGGUAAAACGUAGGUCACAAGCGUUGUCCGGAAUUACUGGGUGUAAAGGGAGCGCAGGCGGGCGAUCAAGUUGGAAGUGAAAUCCAUGGGCUCAACCCAUGAACUGCUUUCAAAACUGGUCGUCUUGAGUAGUGCAGAGGUAGGCGGAAUUCCCGGUGUAGCGGUGGAAUGCGUAGAUAUCGGGAGGAACACCAGUGGCGAAGGCGGCCUACUGGGCACCAACUGACGCUGAGGCUCGAAAGUGUGGGUAGCGAACAGGAUUAGAUACCCUGGUAGUCCACGCGGUAAACGAUGAAUGCUAGGUGUAGGGGGUAUCGACCCCUCCUGUGCCGGAGUAAACGCAAUAAGCAUUCCGCUUGGGGAGUACGGCCGCAAGGUUGAAACUCAAAGGAAUUGACGGGGGCCCGCACAAGCAGCGGAGCAUGUGGUUUAAUUCGACGCAACGCGAAGAACCUUACCAGGUCUUGACAUCGAUGUAAAGCCCAAGAGAUUGGGUGUCUCUCCGGAGGACAGAAGACAGGUGGUGCAUGGUUGUCGUCAGCUCGUGUCGUGAGAUGUUGGGUUAAGUCCCGCAACGAGCGCAACCCUUAUUGUCAGUUACUAACGGGUGAAGCCGAGGACUCUGAUAAGACCGCCGGGGACAACUCGGAGGAAGGUGGGGACGACGUCAAAUCAUCAUGCCCCUUAUGACCUGGGCUACACACGUGCUACAAUGGUGAAAACAAAGAGAAGCGAGGCCGUAAGGCGGAGCGGAUCUCAAAAAAAUCAUCUCAGUUCGGACUGUGGGCUGCAACCCGCCCACACGAAGUUGGAGUUGCUAGUAAUCGCGGAUCAGAACGCCGCGGUGAAUACGUUCCCGGGCCUUGCACACACCGCCCGUCA